rnacentral:misc_RNA from 1 species
GUAGUUGUGGUAAGUAAGUCUCCGCCAAUCUUCAUUGAGCUCUCUGGAGUAUACCCUUCCUCAAGAAAUUCCAAGAUAUCUCGAAAUGUAUUUCUUUGACUGUUUAGGUCCUUCUUGGCAGACCCUUUGCCUCCAGCCUCUACGGAGAGACUUCUCACCUGAUUCAGGACCUUCGCCCUUAAUCCCUGGAUAUGUAAAAUAUCCUUAGAUUUGUUUGCUUCGCCUGUGGAGCUGUCACUAGAUCCUUUAU